rnacentral:rRNA from 1 species
UACAGAGGUCUCAAGCGUUGUUCGGAUUCAUUGGGCGUAAAGGGUGCGUAGGCGGCGCGGUAAGUCGGGUGUGAAAUCUCGGAGCUUAACUCCGAAACUGCAUUCAAUACUGCGGUGCUUGAGGACUGGAGAGGAGACUGGAAUUCAUGGUGUAGCAGUGAAAUGCGUAGAGAUCAUGAGGAAGACCAGUGGCGAAGGCAGGUCUCUGGGCCAUUACUGACACUGAGAAGCGAAAGCAUGGGGAGCGAACAGG